rnacentral:lncRNA from 1 species
UUUGGUCGGCAAUUCGGUCGUAUAUAAGUAGGUCGAAAUUAAGUCCGUUGAUCUUUCAGUCGGGGAUACUUAACAUCGACGGACUUAUCCUCGACUGAAUAUUCAGUCGAGGUUAAGAUAUGUCCGACUGAAACUCUUCGGUCGAGGCUAUUCGGUCGAGGAUAACCAUGACAUGUGGCUGCGUGCCAUAUUUUGCAGAU